rnacentral:rRNA from 1 species
UACGGGGGGGGCAAGCGUUGUUCGGAAUUACUGGGCGUAAAGGGCUCGUAGGCGGCCAACUAAGUCAGACGUGAAAUCCCUCGGCUUAACCGGGGAACUGCGUCUGAUACUGGAUGGCUUGAGUUCGGGAGAGGGAUGCGGAAUUCCAGGUGUAGCGGUGAAAUGCGUAGAUAUCAAGAGGAACACCUGCGGCGAAGGCGGGUUGCUGGGCCGACACUGACGCUGAAGCGCGAAAGCUAGGGGAGCGAACGGG